UUUAUUUUUUUUUUUUUCCUUUCUGCAACUUCCUUUUAUGGAUCUGAAUGUUGCUAUAAUGUACAAAUGAAGAUUUUCUUGCACCCUCUGUACUGAAGUAUUUUACAUGGUGGUUGGAUUCAUUAAAUGCUGUUAGAUACAAGUGCCUGCCACCAUCAUUACUGACAGAAUUUCAGAAAGAUACUCUGCAGAACAAGUGGGGUUUGUAUUUAAAAAAAAGGGAUUUGGAGUGUUGUUUUUGUUUAAUUUUGUUUUUAAAUGCAUCCAAUUAUUAAUGCUGCUUGGAGAUCUAAUUUACUUUGGAAAACAGGGGGCCUUAACUUAACCUGGGACCGUUAGCGUUUUACUUGUUUCUAUUUAAAAAAAGAAAUUGUAUGAAUUUCCCAAAUACCAUUGGUACUUGCACACUUCUCUGAAGUAUUAUGAAGAGUUGGGUUGGUGGAAGAAUGUUUUACAUAUUGUUAACAUAUAUGUGGAUAUUCUUAUAUUAUUGUACAUGUUUGGGAAAAUAUCACACAACUUUAAAAAUGUUACUAAGAUGUAUGUAUCUGACUUUUUCCUUUGGAAAAUAUUAUAUAUUUUUAUUUGUAUUUUUUACUUUUUUAAGUUCAUCUAUAUGUGCCGUUAUUUUUGUAUUGCAAAUGGUCUCAUAAGCGCAGUAGAAGAGAUAAAAAUACAAAGAAAAGUAAUUUGGUAAGGAUUACAAUGCUUGGGGGGAAAAACACAAGGAUCAGUAUUAUAAUAUCAAUACUAGAAAUAUUUUGAGUGUCUUAGCACUGUAAAUAUGUCACGAGACCUCUUUUGACAGCUAGUGUAAAGAAUUACAAGGUUUUAAUCACCCAUUUUAAUUUGUUAUUAAUUACCACUUUCCUGUGGCCUCUGGUCUUGACUUAAUUGAACCUGAUCAAACAGCAUGCUUUUUUGGUUUUAUUAUUAAAAUUUCUCCUUGUUUUUUGAUUGAAUAUUGUUUCAUUUUCUUUCAGUUUUGUACUUCAGAUUUUGGUUCUUGCUUGUGAGAAGUUGAUCUUCAGAAUUAUUUUUACACUAUUUAUGAUUUAUUUUCAUAAUGUAAAAAGUGUGUAAUUAUUAAAAUAUUAAUCCAA
rnacentral:lncRNA from 1 species